ensembl:lncRNA
GAAAAACACUCUCUUCCCUCUAAUAACACCACUUAUGGCAGACGGACAGGGUUCUCUUCUGAAUGUGGAGCUCCACUCAGAAGACACCUGGAAUGGGGCUCAUCCCAGACUCAGCCAGGAGGGACAGACCUUAACCUUGGCUGGGACCCAGAAGGCAGAGGAUAGAAAAGAAAAAGGAAGUAAAGAGGAAAUAGAGAAAGCAAACUCUAUGUGGACUGAAAUACAACCUGCUGGGAAGACUGGAAAACGGUUUAGAGUCCUCUGGAUGCCAGAUGUGUUCGUGACCCAGCUACAAGGAAACUGGAUUCUUUCUGGUCACGUUGGAUAUCUGCAUGCGCUUCUAAGUGUUGUAUUGCAUAAAGGAUCCAGCUCCCUGACCAGGGAUUGAACUUGGGGCCCCUGCGUUGGAAGCAUCGAGUCCCAGCCUCUGGACAACCAGGGAAGUCCCUACAGCUCCAUUUUCAAUCAAGAACACUGAGGCUCAGUGGAACAUAGAAAUCACAUUCAACACUUCUAUUUGUGCACCAUUGGUCAGAACUUACUUACAUGGGAGCACAUAUGUGGC